GGCGCCCUGCCAUGUACGUGAUACACCAGGCAUUUUUGAGCCACGACUCAAAAGCAGGGAGCCCGAACCUUCGGCAUAGCGGAAGCCCGGCCUCAUGCGGGCGGCGCGAACCCGAAGCUGGGGCGCCCACCUGGAGAAUCCAGGUUCAAAAGUCUCGUGUGCACGGCAUUGGCGGGGCUUUU
rnacentral:other from 1 species